AGUGAACGCUGGCGGUAGGCCUAACACAUGCAAGUCGAACGGCAGCACAGGAGAGCUUGCUCUCUGGGUGGCGAGUGGCGGACGGGUGAGGAAUACAUCGGAAUCUACUCUGUCGUGGGGGAUAACGUAGGGAAACUUACGCUAAUACCGCAUACGACCUACGGGUGAAAGCAGGGGACCUUCGGGCCUUGCGCGAUUGAAUGAGCCGAUGUCGGAUUAGCUAGUUGGCGGGGUAAAGGCCCACCAAGGCGACGAUCCGUAGCUGGUCUGAGGGGAUGAGCAGCCCGACAGGAACUGAGACACGGUCCAGACUCCUACGGGAGGCAGCAGUGGGGAAUAUUGGACAAUGGGCGCAAGCCUGAUCCAGCCAUACCGCGUGGGUGAAGAAGGCCUUCGGGUUGUAAAGCCCUUUUGUUGGGAAAGAAAUCCAGCUGGCUAAUACCCGGUUGGGAUGACGGUACCCAAAGAAUAAGCACCGGCUAACUUCGUGCCAGCCGCCGCAGUAA
rnacentral:rRNA from 1 species